rnacentral:lncRNA from 1 species
CACCUGCACACCAAUAUCCACACCAACACCUGCACACCAAUAUCCACACCAACACCUGCACACCAAUGUCCACACCAACACCUGCACACCAAUAUCCACACCAACACCUGCACACCAACGUCCACACCAACACCUGCACACCAACACCUGCACACCAACGUCCACACCAGCACCUGCACACCAACGUCCACACCAACACCUGCACACCAACAUCCACACCAACACCUGCACACCAAUAUCCACACCAACACCUGCACACCAAUGUCCACACCAACACCUGCACACCAAUAUCCACACCAACACCUGCACACCAACGUCCACACCAACACCUGCACACCAACACCUGCACACCAACGUCCACACCAACACCUGCACACCAACGUCCACACCAACACCUGCACACCAACGUCCACACCAACACCUGCACACCAAUAUCCACACCAACACCUGCACACCAACACAUGCACACCAACACCUGCACACAAACGUCCACACCAGCACCUGCACACCAAUGUCCACACCAACACCUGCACACCAACACCUGCACACCAAUGUCCACACCAACACCUGCACACCAACACCUACACACCAACGUCCACACCAGCACCUGCACACCAAUGUCUACACCAGCACCUGCACACCAAUGUCCACGCCAACACCUGCACACCAACAUCCACGCCAACACCUGCACACCAACGUCCACACCAACACCUGCACACCAACGUCCACACCAGCACCUGCACACCAAUGUCCACACCAACACCUGCACACCAAUAUCCACACCAACACCUGCACACCAAUAUCCACACCAACACCUGCACACCAAUGUCCACACCAACACCUGCACACCAACACCUACACACCAACGUCCACACCAACACCCACACCAACACCUGCACACCAACGUCCACACCAACACCCACACCAACACCUGCACACCAACGUCCACACCAGCACCCACACCAACACCUGCACACCAACGUCCACACCAGCACCCACACCAACACCUGCACACCAACGUCCACACCAGCACCCACACCAACACCUGCACACCAAUGUCCACACCAGCACCUGCACACCAACGUCCACACCAGCACCUGCACACCAAUGUCCACA